rfam:Loxodonta africana unplaced genomic scaffold scaffold_5, whole genome shotgun sequence.
GCAGUGGUGGUCCAGUGGUAGAAUUCUUGCCUUUCAUGCAGAAGACCUGGGUUUGAUUCCUGGCCACUGCA